UAGGCCACCUGGCUGAAACAAUGUUCUCAUCGGGGAUAGUGUCCGGCUCGGGCAACCCACCAAAGUUUGGCCCUGGUGGUAUGACGAGCUUGCAGAGUACGAUGGCACAGUCAAAUAGUGUUCAAGGUGAAAGACCCGAGGUACAAUCUGAGCUAUGGGAAUUUCCAGGGUCCUUAGGAAUGUCACAUGGAAUCUCUGGAGGAUCAGGAGGGAGAUCUGAUGGAAUAUCUGGUGUAAGAGGGGAGACACAACAUAUCCCUUCAAGAACAGCCACGACUACAGGUGAUGACCAAGACACUGGUGUUUGUUAGGUAACCUGGACACGAUGUCGUCACAGAUGUAUAACCAUCGACCCCAACAAUCUGUGUCCUGUCUGUACCUGUAAUGGUGACAGCAAACAACCCCACGUAACAACGCAUGAACAAAGUAGCAAUGGCGAAUCCGAUACCAAACAAACCGGAUGUCGUUCCAAUCCUAGCGACUGUCCGAGCCAGUGUGUCGGAUUUGAUGAGGCUGGAUGUACCAUCUGUAUCUGCGAAAAUGGCAAGUCGUCGUGGUAUGAAGACAUUUGGAGUUGAAUGUGAUACAAAUAUAUUAUGUAAGCAUUGUCUACAAAAUAAACAUUGUAUCGUU